UGCAGUCGAGCGAGAAGGUCUUCGGACUAAGUACAGCGGCGGACGGGUGAGUAACGCGUGGGAAUCUGCCUUUCAGUGAAGAAUACUCUCGAGAAAUCGAGCUUAAUGCUGCAUACGUCUUGAAAAAGAGAAAGAUGGCCUCUUGCUGUCGCUGAAAGAUGAGCCUGCGUACUAUUAGCUAGUUGGUGGGGUAAAGGCCUACCAAGGCGAUGAUGGUUAGCCGGCCUGAGAGGGUGUACGGCCACACUGGAACUGAGACACGGUCCAGACUCCUACGGGAGGCAGCAGUGGGGAAUAUUGCGCAAUGGGCGAAAGCCUGACGCAGCGACGCCGCGUGAAGGACGAAGGUCUUCGGAUUGUAAACUUCUGUUAAGUGAGAGGAAAGAACAGGUUUUAAUACAACCUGGUGAUGACUGUAUCAUUAGAGAAAGCACCGGCUAACUUCGUGCCAGCAGCCGCGGUAAUACGAAGGGUGCGAACGUUAUUCGGAAUCAUUGGGCGUAAAGGGUGUGUAGGCGGCAUGACAAGUCAAUUGUUAAAGACCCCGGCCUAACCGGGGAAAAGCAGUAGAUACUGUCUGUGCUAGAGGAUGGAAGAGAGAAGUGGAAUUCUUGGAGUAGCGGUAAAAUGCGUAGAUCUCAAGAGGAACACCGAUGGCGAAGGCAGCUUCUUGGUCCAUUCCUGACACUAAUGCACGAAAGCGUGGGGAGCGAACGGGAU
rnacentral:rRNA from 1 species